rnacentral:tRNA from 1 species
GCUGACGUAGCUCAACUGGCAGAGCAUCCGCCUUGUAAGCGGAAGGUUGAGGGUUCGACUCCCUCCGUCAGCUCCU